UACAGAGGGUGCAAGCGUUAAUCGGAAUUACUGGGCGUAAAGCGUGCGCAGGCGGUUUUGUAAGUUUGUCGUGAAAGCCCCGGGCUCAACCUGGGAAUUGCGAUGAAGACUGCAAGGCUUGAAUCUGGCAGAGGGGGGUAGAAUUCCACGUGUAGCAGGUGAAAUGCGUAGAUAUCGGGAGGAACACCAGUGGCGAAAGCGGCCGGCUGGGCCUGUCCUGACGCUGAGACGCGAAAGCGUGGGGAGCGAACAGG
rnacentral:rRNA from 1 species